GUCCCCGUAGCUCAACUGGACAGAGCGUGUGGCUUCGGACCACAAGGUUGAGGGUUCGACUCCUUCCGGGGACA
rnacentral:tRNA from 1 species